AGAGAGAGCACUCGCGCUCACCGACUUGUGGGGAACUCACACCUGACAAAGGACCUUUCUUAUGGGGAAAGUUCAGAAUUGUGGGGAACUCUCUCGUUCCCCACAAAUAUGGUCAUGGGGUUUUUUGAAUUCUACGUGUUCUACUGAUAAUAUUUAUUCGAUUUGUGGUCAUUUUUGAAAAAAUCCCCAUAAGUCCGUAAAAUUGACUCGCAGUAAUUUUCUCACUGCACCGUAAAACGAAUGUUUGAGGAUGCUGGGAAAUGUUCAUUCGGAACGCAGCGGAAUUUAAACUGGUCCCCAUAUGAUACCAAUUUAUUGCGGGCAAUGGCUGCUCCGAGAAUAUGUGGUUUUCGGGUUUUCACCACAAGAGCAAAUUAUACAACUUUAUUCUUGAAAAUGUUAGAGACUGAGACUUGGAGUCAAAGUCAACAGACACGCUUGCAUGGACAUGAAGGAUGUAAAGAACUAGAGUAUUAUAACUGAAAGCAUUUUGUCUGGAUUUGUGUAUGGAAACAGAAGGAUUUAGUAUUGGUAUCCUGAAUUUUUGUCAACUUCUAGCCAAGAUCCUGUACUUAAGCUGAAUGUGGAGGACAGAUGUACACACAGUACUAGUAUAGAGGUUUAGUGGCAUGGAGUCCAGGAUGAGCUGUUAAAGUGGAAAAAGGGCCAGAAACGGCCUGUAGUCGUCAAGCAGAUUGGAUUUCUUAACUUGAAUAAAUAGUAAAACGCUCCGAAUACUGAAUUUGUUGCGAGAUUUUUUAGGCCAAGCCCAGAUCUAUUAGUUUAAGUGUGUCCCCCCAAAACAUAUUGCCAUCAU